CCUACGGGCGGCAGCAGUGGGGGAUAUUGCACAAUGGGGGGAACCCUGAUGCAGCGACGCCGCGUGGGUGAAGAAGCGCCUCGGCGCGUAAAGCCCUGUCAGCAGGGAAGAAAAUGACGGUACCUGAAGAAGAAGCCCCGGCUCACUACGUGCCAGCAGCCGCGGGAAUUCGUAGGGGGCAAGCGUUAUCCGGAUUUACUGGGUGUAAAGGGGGCGCAGACGGCGAUGCAAGCCAGGAGUGAAAGCCCGGGGCCCAACCCCGUGACUGCUCGUGGAACUGCGUGGCGGGAGUGCAGGAGGGGCAGGCGGAAUUCCUGGUGUAGCGGUGAAAUGCGUAGAUAUCAGGAGGAACACCGGUGGCGAAGGCGGCCUGCUGGACUGCAACUGACGUUGAGGCCCGAAAGCGUGGGGAGCAAACAGGAUUAGAUACCCCAGUAGUC
rnacentral:rRNA from 1 species